rnacentral:rRNA from 1 species
AUACGUAGGGGGCGAGCGUUGUCCGGAAUGAUUGGGCGUAAAGGGCGCGUAGGCGGCCCGGUAAGUCUGGAGUGAAAGUCCUGUUUUUAAGAUGGGAAUCGCUUUGGAUACUGUCGGGCUUGAGUGCAGGAGAGGUAAGUGGAAUUCCCAGUGUAGCGGUGAAAUGCGUAGAGAUUGGGAGGAACACCAGUGGCGAAGGCGAAUUACUGGACUGUAACUGACGCUGAGGCGCGAAAGUGUGGGGAGCAAACAGGAUUAGAUACCCUGGUAGUCCACACUGUAAACGAUGAAUGCUAGGUGUAGGGGGUAUCGACCCCUUCUGUGCCGCAGUCAACACAAUAAGCAUUCCGCCUGGGGAGUACGGCCGCAAGGUUGAAACUCAAAUGAAUUGACGGGG